rnacentral:lncRNA from 1 species
ACGAGAGGAAAAAAUCAUAUAUUUGAUAAAACUAUCGGAUUACAAUAGUGGAUAUUACACGAGGAACAUCAUUGAAAUGUGACGCGUAAUCUAAACAUUUUCUUGACAGCGAAACUUAAACUGACAGCAUCCAUCAACAUCGAUACAUCUUAUCUAAAACUUAACCGAGGAACAUCAUCCAAAUAGAACAUCUUCCCUGCAACUUAACUAAAACUGGAAGCCUCCAUCAUCACCAUCAUGAACAGGAACAUCAUCAUCAUAAUUGCUUGCAGUAUACUUGCACGCACCAAUAUAAUCAUCCAUUUAUCUUUUGAAUCUACAGACAAAAAAACACAAAUGAACUGUUAGCACACAAUGCAUUGACAUGAUGCAGGAAGUGACAGAGGCAGGAUAUUGGCCAUUGUAUUUGCUGGUAUAUCUCUAUAUGCAAACUCCAGAAAUUCAUCCACACCAGCUGAGUAAUGAGGACUUUCUCUAGGAAAUCACAAUAGUAAUUUGGUGGAUUCUAAAUCCAUUGCACACUGCUUAAAAAAAUAUUACUACAAUUGUAACCAUGAAUGAACUGCAAGAGCUAGCUUGUAAAUAUCUGAUUUGUAUUUAAGUUCCUAUCAUCGUACAACAGAAAUUCACAAUUAUAUUGUUUUUUGACAAUGCAAGGAUCCUCCCCCCAGCCUUUGCAACAUAGCGGGCAGAAUUUUCUUCAAACAUUGUAAAAUAGGCUAGUAAUGUUAUUCUACUAUGCACACUAGUGAUCAACCCAUGCAUGGGCUAACAUUUUGGUGUUUCACAUUGUUUAUAUAUACCAAAGGACACGUCAUGGAGUUUAAUUCUGUUAUCACCUGGUAGAAAACUCCAGCACAAUAAUGAGAUAACAUGCAAAGUUGUUGGAGAAAAAAGAGAGCUGAAAUCGACAUGUGCAAACUUCUUUGCAUGAAUACUUCUGCGUGGGACAAAUAAUACUUCGACCAGUGCUAGGUAAGGCUAGAAGGAUUGUUAUUUGAGAGGGUGGCAUGCAAUUUGUAUUCCUGCCACCACGGGUUAGCGUGUGUGUGUGUUUGUGUGUGCGUGUGCGUGUGCGUGCGGGUGUGUGUGCGCGUGCGCGCGCCGACCGUAGGCACCAAGAUUCGUAUGUCAUUAGAAAUUGCAGUAAAUUAGGUCUAAGAUUUAAAAUGUCAAUAUGAUCAUAGAAAGCACUAGGUAUGCCUGAUGGCACUUAUAUUUUCACAUUCAACGAAACAAACUAUGAAAAAACUGACCUUGCCGGAUCAAAUGAGGUAGUAUUGGUAAUUGUUAAGUUAAUCCUCUCCUCUGCUUGCAUGGCACAUACCAGCACUAGUACACGGUGCUCAUUAGCUCAAGUAAACAUUUGUUUUCUUUGAAACUGAAAAGAAACCAUGAUAAUUUGUGUGCUGCAAAUACAAUAAACAACAUAUGUUCUCUCUGAUGCAUAGUGAUAUCAUUUCUACAAAUUGCACAAAUAAUUAUAAUUUGAGAUAUACCUCAAAAUAUUAAGAAAGAUACAUCAAAAAAUCUACCAAACUUGAAGGACCAUCAUAAUUUUUAUACUGUGACCUUAUGCUUUUGCACAUGCAUUACACAGACUGACUAUAUGUAUAUAAUUAUAUUAACUGCUGAAUAUAAAGAUAUAGCCACCAUGCUGAUAUUAAAUUAAUCGUGGACCUGCAGACAUGUAGACAUUGGCACACAAACUCAAGCAUUACACUUUCAAGUUAAUUAGGCUACUGUUAUGCAUGCAAUUUAAUAGAUCUAGCACUUAUACCAUGGGUGGAGGCAGGGUGAUGUGACCAAUUAGUCCACUGAGUAGAUUUGAUUAGAAAGAAGAGAGCCCAUUGCGUGACAACUAAUAAAAAUUUAGUUAUGGUGGUCAGACCUGAGUAGAUGGCCGUGAUACAGCACACGCGGAUGUUCUCAUUUCUGCAAGAAAUCACUGGAACAAGUGAGCACGCCUACCUACUUGAGCUGUAAUAAGGUUAAAAAAGGAUUUUCCGAAUAGAAAUAUGACCAUAUGACAGAGUGACUGAUCAGGCCUACAAAUUGGCACGUAAGCAGGAAGUGGAAC